GGGAUAUAAGCCAGGGGUCAGCUGACAUACUUCCCCUUGGGAAUGGUGCAGAGGCAGGAGGGGGCAGGUGGCCAGAGCUAAAAACCAGGGUGAAGGGGUGGCGCCAUUUUGACCUGGCGGUGGAGAGUGUCAUUAGUCUGCAGGCCACAGGUGGAUAGUCACUCUAUGUCUGAUGCUCUGGUGGGGUUUCUGAGAUUUUAAAUGAGUUAUCCUGUAACUGCUCCUGGUUUGCUCACCCACCCUUCAGCCUCUCUCUGCUGGUGAAAUCUUAUUUGUGUCUCUGCAGUGUCAAGACAAGUGGCGCUAGUGGUAAAGAACCUGCCUGCCAAUGUAGAAGACCCCACGUAAGAGACCCAGGUUUGAUCCCUGGGUCAGAUCUCCUGGAGGAGGAAAUGGCCACCCACUCCACUGUCCUUGCCUGGAGAAUCCCAUGGACAGAGGAGCCUAGUGGGCUAAAAUCCACAGUGGUCACACAGAGUUGGCCACAACUGAAGCGACUUAGCAAGUAGCAAGCAAGUGUCAAGACAGAGCACCAGAGGGCGGGGCAUGCGUGGGCAUUCCACUCCUGCCUGGAGCCCUGCUCCCACCUUUGACUAAGGCCCUUACAGGGAAAUGAAGCACUGCCUCCUGGUCCCCGCUGUCUGCUAAGGACCUUGCCAGACCAGAUGUCCCACGUCACCCAGCAAGCCACCCAUGGGGGCAAGCCUUCCGCCAGGAAAGAGAAGCGAUUACGACUUUCAGAGGGCGACCGAAAUAAAGACGACAUGUAAAAGAAGAUGUCUGAGUCGGUCUGUGGCCGGCAACCCACUUCUGAUCUCACCACUCAAGUAUUCAGCCUGCAUUGGCAUGAAUCUUAAUUCAUUAUGAUCACAUGAAAGUCACUGAACCUGAGGGAGCUGUGAGUGCCAGGAUGCUGAACGUGGGGAAGAUUCCACUCUCACCUGGAUAUCAAAACCACAUGGGU
rnacentral:lncRNA from 1 species